rnacentral:lncRNA from 1 species
AGGGAGUGGGUGGGGAAAAGGGGAGGUGAGAGAAAGGACAUGGGUGGGUGCCUUCUGCCUGUUGGGAGGAAGAAAGCUCUUCUUAGUGCUGGCCAGGGUCUCUUGCCUCUGGAAGCUGCUGGAAACAGAAUGAUCCAGACACAACCCGAAGCACCAAGAGGUCAGCACAGCAUAUAGGCAUUGAGGUGGCGAGGAUGCGUCCCUGAAAGCUAAGAUGCCAAGACUUGAGGCAUGUUUGGAUACAGGAAAGAACCUGUUUGCAAUAUUACAUAUGUAGUAAAAAUUGUUUAGGCUUUGUUUGUAUCGAAAAGACUCCUUGAGGCAUAGACC